rnacentral:rRNA from 1 species
ACUGCUCAGUAACACGUGGAUAACCUGCCCUUGGGUCCGGCAUAACCCCGGGAAACUGGGGAUAAUUCCGGAUAACGCAUAUGUGCUGGAAUGCUUUAUGCGUGAAAUGGAUUCGUCUGCCCAAGGAUGGGUCUGCGGCCUAUCAGGUAGUAGCGGGUGUAAUGGACCUACUAGCCAACAACGGGUACGGGUUGUGAGAGCAAGAGCCCGGAGAUGGAUUCUGAGACAUGAAUCCAGGCCCUACGGGGCGCAGCAGGCGCGAAAACUUUACAAUGCGGGAAACCGUGAUAAGGGGACACCGAGUGCCAGCAUCAUAUGCUGGCUGUCCAGGUGUGUAAAAUACACCUGUUAGCAAGGGCCGGGCAAGACCGGUGCCAGCCGCCGCGGUAACACCGGCGGCCCGAGUGGUGAUCGUGAUUAUUGGGUCUAAAGGGUCCGUAGCCGGUUUGGUCAGUCCUCCGGGAAAUCUGAUAGCUUAACUAUUAGGCUUUCGGGGGAUACUGCCAGACUUGGAACCGGGAGAGGUAAGAGGUACUACAGGGGUAGGAGUGAAAUCUUGUAAUCCCUGUGGGACCACCUGUGGCGAAGGCGUCUUACCAGAACGGGUUCGACGGUGAGGGACGAAAGCUGGGGGCACGAACCGGAUUAGAUACCCGGGUAGUCCCAGCCGUAAACGAUGCUCGCUAGGUGUCAGGCAUGGCGCGACCGUGUCUGGUGCCGCAGGGAAGCCGUGAAGCGAGCCACCUGGGAAGUACGGCCGCAAGGCUGAAACUUAAAGGAAUUGGCGGGGGAGCA